rnacentral:rRNA from 1 species
CAGUGGCGAACGGGUGAGUAACACGUGGGCAAUCUGCCCUGCACUCUGGGACAAGCCCUGGAAACGGGGUCUAAUACCGGAUACGACCUGCUCCUGCAUGGGAGUGGGUGGAAAGCUCCGGCGGUGCAGGAUGAGCCCGCGGCCUAUCAGCUUGUUGGUGGGGUAAUGGCCCACCAAGGCGACGACGGGUAGCCGGCCUGAGAGGGCGACCGGCCACACUGGGACUGAGACACGGCCCAGACUCCUACGGGAGGCAGCAGUGGGGAAUAUUGCACAAUGGGCGAAAGCCUGAUGCAGCGACGCCGCGUGAGGGAUGACGGCCUUCGGGUUGUAAACCUCUUUCAGCAGGGAAGAAGCGAAAGUGACGGUACCUGCAGAAGAAGCACCGGCUAACUACGUGCCAGCAGCCGCGGUAAUACGUAGGGUGCGAGCGUUGUCCGGAAUUAUUGGGCGUAAAGAGCUCGUAGGCGGNCUGUCGCGUCGGUUGUGAAAGCCCGGGGCUUAACCCCGGGUCUGCAGUCGAUACGGGCAGGCUAGAGUUCGGUAGGGGAGAUCGGAAUUCCU